rnacentral:lncRNA from 1 species
AUUCCCCAAUGAGACAGUCUUUUUGAUCAGUUCUCUCAGAACCCUCUGCAGAAAUGAUCAGAGACUUGAACACCGAGGCAGGCAAGCCUAUUUGGUAUUAAGCAAGAUUCAACAGAAAAAAUCUCCUGAGAAGAGGGCAUGCAGAAAGGAGCAAGGCCGAACAACUUCUACUUUCCUUUCUUAGAUUCAUUACAAACAACACAGAUGUGGAUGCUCAAGUCCUCUGAUGGUCCUUAAACAUAGACAGGUCUUUGAAAAGGAAGGAACAAAGUAAGAAAAAGCUCCGAGAUUAUUUGGAACUGACUGGAUGGAGAAGAUGGAAGAAAUUGUCUUUCAUUCAGGGCAUAGAAUCUCAAUACUAUGGCAGUUAUACCAAGUGGCCCAGCAUCAUCUUCCUGACCCUGCCCAUCAAUUUUCUUACAUUGGCCCAUGCAUACUACUGAGAUAGACAUGCGCUAAGAAGAAAACCAAAUGAAAGCUUCUAUUGGUUGGUGAAAAGCAAGAUCCUCCUCUUUCCCAUCCGGUUGGAGGCUACUCUUCUCCUAAGUGCCCAUUAUGUGGCAGGCUCUCAGUAAUUAUUGAUCAAGAGGAAGAAGAUGGAUUCUUGCCCUCCAGGGGGUCACUUCUGAGGCAGUACAUAAGACAGCUGCAUACCAGGUAGCUGGUAGUGACUGGCUGAUGAAUGACACACAGCACUGAGAGAGGGAAUGCUUCUGAUCGCAUCGGAUCGAAAGGCAGGCUGCAUCGGAAAGUGGUGCUUCCGGCUGAAAUCACAGUGCCCUCCCUCCUCAGAACAUGGCUCAAUCAAUUACAAAUACCACCCCAGCUCCAGUCACUCAGACAGCAACAUCAUCUCCUCUUUCUUUUCUGGGUUAAAACUUUUGCCUUAUCAUGGUGAUAAGCGACUACAUUAAGUUCCUUCUGCUGCUCCAACCAAGUAACUGGAAUUUAGUGGCUCUACAAGAAUUGAGAUUGCCUCACAUUGCUGUAGAAGCCAGCAUUUCUGAAUCAGUUUUAGCUGGCUAGAGUUAGGGACAUGGUCAGGGGAGCAGGGCUGGUCACCAAGGUGGCUUUGGCAGAGAAUCACUUCCUGGUCUUUUUUUGUUGCCACUGCAUUCUGCCACAUGCAGCCUUCAACUCUCUCUUCAGACCCAGCUGUGAAUACCCUUCCAUCUGUCUGUCAUCAGAUCCCCUUACUUCACUCUCAAGAGGGAGUUUUUGUGGUUGCACUAAGUUGUGCCUGGAUAAUCCAGGAUAAUCUCCUCACUUCAGGAUCUCCAAGUAAACCCCAGCUACAAAUCUCAUGAGCCACACAUUCACAGUGCAAGGGUUAGGGGCAUUAUUUAGCUUCAUGGAGCAGCCAGUAAAAAGAGGAAGGAGGCCUCUUUUUACAAGCCUUUUUUUCAUUGAGCUUCAUUUUUGUGUAUGCAUUUGAGCUACUGCGUGUUACUAGUAAUGUGGAAUGUAAGGGCUACAGUAUUUUUUUAAGAAGCAGAGAAGUAGAUCAAAAAGAUCCAGGAUGAAAUACAGAAGACAAGGGGCAAGGAAAGAAAUACUCAAAGCCUUUUAAAUGGGAGCUCAGGGGCCAGUGUUGCCUGAGUCAUGCCUGCGGCCAUUUCUGAUAAAUGGGGAAGAAGACCUGCAUGAAGAAUGGCGCCCUGAGCUGGAGUGGGCAGAUGCUAAUAUGUUCCUUAAAUGAGCAAUUUUUACAUACCUCAGGGAGAGGGCUAAGUGAUGAGCUUAUAACAAUCUAUCCUCUUCCAAAAUGAUUUUUAUUUUAACUACUCUAUUACAAGUUUGUAUUUCUGUGCAUGUAUAUGUGUAUUUCUGUAUAGGUCAGAAGAAGAAGUCGAACUCCCCCAGAACUGAAGUUACAGGUGGUCGUGAGUCUCCUACUGAGAACUAACUUUGGGUCCCUUGCAAUAGCAGCAAGCAUUCUUAACUGUUCUUCACGGUAGAAUUUGGCCAUUCAAGUGAAUACAGAAUUAAUCUUAUCAGGAGACAUUUGCUAUGUCCACAAUCUCGGCUUUUGUGCAUAUCCUUUGAAGAGAUUUUAUUGAUUUUAGACUAUUAAAUCCCCCCUUCCUCCACU